CAGAUGUUGAUCCAUCCUUGAAUAAAUGCCACUUGAAUAUGCUCAUUUUGGAGUACCAGAUGAAAAUUUAAUGCUUGUGAAUGAAGAUUCAGUGUCACAACCCCAAAUGCAAGUAGAGAAAUAAAUAACUUACAGAAAGAAAAGGCGCCAUACUUAUUUUGGCAUACCUGAUGAAAAUCUUAUGUUUGCGAGUCAAGAUUCAGCAUCAAAAUCCCAAGUGCAAGUAAAGAAAAAAAUAACUUCCAGAAAGGAAAGACGUAAAACUGAGAAAAUGGAUGAAAAAGCAGGUAAAAAUCUUUCACCUGAAGAUAAUGAAGUUUUAAUCUCAAAAGGCUCAUCUCAAAUUAAGACGCUUGGAGCUACCAGAAAAGUGGGACUUACUAAACAUGAAAGGAAAUAUUCCUCGAUAAUUGAUCAGGAUAUGUAUGAACCCUCAGAUUUUACCCUUGAAGAUCUAGAACUUACUAUAGGAUACAAGGAUCAAAGAGGAAGAAGUGGAAUUUACCAAUCUCAAAGAUUGAAUGUCAAAAAUGAAGUAGCCUCAGAACUUCCAGAUAUGGCAGAUAUUCCAGCAAUUAAUCCAUCAAUUAGUGAUCUAAUACUUCAAUUAGAUUUAAACAAAGUAAUAGAAACUGAUAUAGAACACUUGAAGGAUGCCAUUGAAAGAAGUAUAUUGGUGAAGGAAAAGAAGAUACAAUCAAAGAGUCUCCCUGGUGUGAAUUUAUUCAAAAACAGAUAUAUGUCCACACAACAUCAAGAAGAUUUUUUUAACAGUCACAUUGCACCACGUAAAUUCUCUACAAACAGGAUCAGUUUUUCAACCUUUGACACUCAAGGACAACCAAGUUGGUGAUCAUCCACAGAUGAGAGACGUUUUGCUGAGCCCAGGAGUCCAUGGAAGUAGUUCCAAGCACACUGUUGGAACAACAAAAUCUGAUAUUGGAUACAUUGAGGAGGGCAAAAGGAACAUUUUGACUUUACUGCACCACUCCUUCAGGACAGCCAUACUUCAUUGUCAAGAGAGCCCUUUUCAUCCCGGGAUUUCUUGCAUGGGAAAGAGUGAGAGCAUAAAGAUCUGAGUACAUUUCACCCCAUGUGAAUAAACCUCCAAAAGCAUAUCACAGAACAUCUAGGGCUGGGUCAACCAUUUAUAAAACCAUCCAGUUUCCCUCACUAAAUAAAG